rnacentral:rRNA from 1 species
AUUGAACGCUGGCGGCAGGCCUAACACAUGCAAGUCGAGCGAGCGGCGGACGGGUGAGUAAUGUCUGGGAAACUGCCUGAUGGAGGGGGAUAACUACUGGAAACGGUAGCUAAUACCGCAUACCAUCAGAUGUGCCCAGAUGGGAUUAGCUAGUGGGUGGGGUAAUGGCUCACAUAGGCGACGAUCCCUAGCUGAUCUGGGAGGGUGACCAGCCACACUGGAACUGGGACACGGUCCAGACUCCUACGGGAGGCAGCAGUGGGGAAUAUUGGACAAUGGGCGAAAGCCUGAUGCAGCAAUGCCGCGUGGGUGAAGAAGGCCUUCGGGUUGUAAGGCACUUUCAGCGAGGAGGCGUUACUCACAGAGAAAGCACCGGCUAACUCCGUGCCAGCCGCCGCGGUAAUUC